rnacentral:rRNA from 1 species
UACGGGGGGGGUAAGCGUUGUUCGGAAUUACUGGGCGUAAAGGGCUCGUAGGCGGCCAACUAAGUCAGACGUGAAAUCCCUCAGCUUAACUGGGGAACUGCGUCUGAUACUGGAUGGCUUGGAUUCGGGAGAGGAAUGCGGAAUUCCAGGUGUAGCGGUGAAAUGCGUAGAUAUCUGGAGGAACACCGGUGGCGAAGGCGGCAUCCUGGACCGACACUGACGCUGAGGAGCGAAAGCGUGGGUAGCAAACAGG